UGCUUGGUGCAUAAAACUACAGAA
rnacentral:miRNA from 1 species